rnacentral:lncRNA from 1 species
UUUUUUUUCCCUUUUCUUAUUGUGGAAUAUACAAUAACGCAUCACCAUACAGCACAAAAAAAAAGGAAUAUCGAAAAACCAAAACGGACGUUUCAGCCACGUGCUGCGGUCCCCAGGAAGGAGCCACUGAUUGUCAGAGAGGUUGCUGCGGGCACCCCAGAGUAUGCUACCACCUACUUGAGCUACAGGGCACGGGGGACGGCGACGGGGUUGGGGUGAGAAUUUGAAGGGCAGAAAGUGAGGAAGGGGAGAAAGCAUCCCCCUCCUCCUCGCCCCCCUUUGAGGACCACGCGCACCCUUUUUGCGACCAGCUCUGCUUCCAAUGCUUCCACCCACCGGGGGCGACCUCGAAUCCCCGCCCUGAGCACCGGGGGUGAUGGAGGGGACACGGAGACCCCUGCCCGGAGGUUUGGGGUGCCCCUCGCACAGCCACAGCCAGCACCAGCACCCCAUUAGCAGGGGCCACCCCGUCCCUCCGCCAGCCGAGCACCCUGCAGCCCCCGCGGGGGCGAGCCCCCAGCAGCCCCCCGCGUAUUUUGGGUGCCCCUCCAUACCCUACACCCGGGUUUUUCCCUAAAUACCCUACACCCGGCUUAUUUUUCGUGAGCCCCUCUCUGCACAAGAUGCCCACCCGAGGGCAAACCCCACUCGUCGCAUCACCCACUGCCCCCCCCGUCCCGGGCACCCCGAGGGGAACCGCGCACCCGGGGACCCCCCCCAAAGCCCCGGUGGGAUCGGGGAAAGGCCAGCAUCCCCCAAAUCAGCCAGCACGGGGGGGUCCCGAGCCCAUCCCCACCUGCACGGAGCCCCCAAGGAGAAAGAAGAGGAGGAGAAGGAGGAGGAGGAGGAGGAGGAGGAAGCCGGCACCGGGGUCUUGCGCCGGGUUACCUCUGGGUCCGGCCCGCGGCGUCGAGCCCCCCGGCGGUGCGCGCUCGAGGGAUCCACGGAGGGUUCGAGAAGGAGGAGUUUACUGGACUCUACAGUCUGUGGGGAAAGGAAGGACGAUGGCCCGGACGAAAAAAAAAUAAUACCCCAAGCCCCCGAUGAAAGGAACGGAGAGACCCCCGACAAACCAACCCCAAAAUCAUUUCGCCCACGAGCCGUACUUGCCCGUGGCACGAGCCGGGGGUUGUCGAGUCCCGGGGCAACGCUGCUGCGGAUCCGCUUGGCACGGCUCGGCACGGCUCGGCACACGUCGGCACGGCUCGGCACGGCUCGGCACGGCUCGGCACGGCACGGCUCGCCCCUCCAGGUGGAUCCGCGUCCGAGUGCGUUUUUCUGGAGGUGUGAGCGCGGGAGCCGGGGCGUGAAGUCCAUGAGCAGAAAUGUUUCGUCGCCCCCCUCCCGCACGGCCGCACGCCCCCACCCCCCCCCCGGCGGGGCGGAAAACGUUUGGUUGUGGUUUGGUUUUCCUCGCAGGACGGUGAAGAAGGAAAAGAAAACAAAAUGAUGCCGAUGAGACGUCGUCGUCAAUCCCGCCUAAUUUCCAAAGCAAGGCCGUGCAAAGAGCUGCGGUGCGGCUCCGCGGGGCAGAGCCGGACGGUGACGGAAAGCGGUGGGGAGCGCGC